AUGGAGCAAACAAGAACUUUUUGGAAUUCAGACACUUGCAUCUUUAAAAUGGUGUACUACUCCUGGAGCAAGCAACAAGCAGCAAAGCAAUACAUGGAACAGAGAAUGGCGAUGGCAAUAGCGUGGACGAGGGAGAAGAGGCUGCGGAGCGUUGCUCUCACUCUCACGCGGCUCUCACUCACUCUGUCCCGCUGCAACAGGGAGCCGCCAUGGCCAUCAACGCCAACUGCCGCCGCGUGCAGGCCUCGCUCCGAUCCAGCCGCCCAAGACCUCUCCGCCCCAGUUCCAUCCCAUCCUCGCCUGCCGGAGCCCCGCGUCCCAGCCGCCGUCACCCGAGCUUGGCCAUGGCGCCGCCAACCGGAGCUUCGCCCGCCUCCGGCCAUUCCUCGGCCGGCUCCUGCAGCCCCGCGCCCGUCCCGGCCUCCUCCACGCCAAGCAGCAGCUCGUCGGAGCACGAGCUCCACCGGGUCCGCCUCCCUCUGUCGUCCCUCUUCUUCUUCUACUCUUUUACUCCCUCUCUGCCUCUUCUCUGAAAUUUCCCCACCUUGA
rnacentral:rRNA from 1 species